CUCUGGAAAGCUCCAGGGGAAAGUUAAGGCAUAACCCAGCUUCUCCGAGAGGGAACUCGGGAGUAUCUAGCUCAGUUCUACAGAGGCAACCCCAAGGCAGGACCUGCCCAGGGUCACUUGGAGAGCUGGGUGGGAGGAGGGAGAGACUUCCCCAGUUCAGAGUGACAAAGCCCCCCUGCCCCAGGGAUGGCUGAGAUCCAAGUCCUCAAAAUCACACCGCCAUCUGGAAGGUGUGAGAGCCAGGUUCGUCCUCAGCAUCGACGCUGCAGUGCACACUGUUCGGUGCCAGGUGCUGGCUGACCCUGCCCUGGGGGAGGUGAUGGACAGGCACAGAGGGGGAGCCCUGCAAACAAGGGUCCCUGUUACAGCAGAGAAGGAGAGCACCUGAUAGGACUCCAAGCACUGUGGCCGGGCUGCAGAGAGGCCUGCGAGGCCUGUAGACAAGAUGCCAUGGAGAAGGUGGAGCUCCCAUAGGCCUUGCAGGUUUCACUAAGCAAGAGUGGAGAAGACACAGGCUGGACAAAGGGAGGUAGAUGGGACAGCCAGCCAUGCAGCAGCCUCACAGGACACAGCUACCAGACAGAGAGCACCGGCUGACAUUCAUUCCUCCAGCAGCAGGAAAUGCCACAGCAGAAGGGGUCUUUCGAGAUGGGCCAGCUCCACUCCUAGCAUGGUUGCUGGGCGUCUGCACAGGCCAGGCGUUUCUCUAAGGGUCAGGGGAGCUGCAGCAAGAUCCCAGGUCCUGACCCAAGGCAGUCCUGACCCAUGGUCUGUCCCCAUCAGCCAUUCCCUGGAGCUAUGCCGCAGUUGCGGAUGUACUUCUGGAAGGCAGGUGGAGGAGCUCCAGUUCCUCUCCAAAACUCAAAAUCCCAUCUCUGCAGGUCUCAGCCAAUCCUGCUUCUGCCUGUUUUUAUUUCCUGCCCAGAGCAAGUACAGAACCAGGGGCCAUCGAUGGGUGAGAAAUCACCAUGCCUCCAAGCCGUAUUUUUCACAGUAACAAGUCAUUACUUUGUGCCUGGAGUCAUUUCUCAGGAUCUUAAUGCAUUCGUUUAUCAAUCAAUACUUAAUUGAUGUCUAUAAAGCAUGUUCAAAAUCAGAGGUGAGAGCAGCUCACCAGGUACCGACUUUGUGUCUGGAGCCGCCUUGUUAAGGAGCAACUCCUGGCAUGGGUGCCGUGUCUGCACCCUCAGUAGCUCUGGGUGGGUGCACUGGGGUCCUCACAGCCCCUUCUCGCCACUGCAAAUG